ACGACCAAACUCACCCUCCUUGUAUCUCCACUACCGACUAUAACACCUCCCAUGACCACCCCAUCGCCACCGUUGACCACCGCACGACCACCCUACUGCCGCCGCCGGAAAUCACCUCACGGCGGCGGCCGUCAACCAAACGGCCCCAAAGUUACACCCUUUAACCAGCAUGACCUCCCCUAUCCCACCAUGUAAUUGGUUUCCUUCGAAUACCAUCCCUCAGUCUCGAAUAUACCUUUAAAGGUGGCCGGAAACCCUACCUCCGGCGACCUCAUUCCAAAGCCGGCCAAAACUACACCACUAAGACACCUUGACUUCCCCGUUCUAACCAUGCAUAUCAUCAUUCUCAAAUCACCCUGAAACUCUUCGAAUCUCAGUCUGAAACCCAACCCUAAAUCCCCAAACAUGCCGGAAAAGCCCCAAAACCUUCCCAGGGUUCUAACCAUGCAUGUCCCCCUCUCAAAUCACCAUGGAACCCCUCGAAUCUUAAUCCGAAUCUUAACCCCAAAUCCCAUACUUAACAGAAAUGGCUCAAAACCCUUCCAGGCAGCCCCUGACUCUCCUUGACAAUAGCCAUACCAUCCUUGAGUCUCAAACAACUCCCAACCACUCAAAAUUUCAAAUAUGAGACCUACUGAGGUCUCAAGACUUCAAGAACCCUCCCCUGAACUUUGAAACUGUUUAACAACCAUCCUGGGAGUUUCAGAACCCCUAUGGAAGAACAAAGGUCCACUUGACAUGGUCUGAACGGACAGGAAUGAGAGCUAAGUUUCCCCUGCUCAUUUUCAUUUUUUAGCUUUGAAUGAUUGGAUUUCUUUUAAUGACUGAUUGUUAAUUGCAUGUUUUAAUAAUUUGAGUUUCUUUUAUUUGAUUUUCUUUUGAUUGUUUGUCUUGAUUAUCCACAAGUUCUUCUAAAAAUUAGGGUUCAUGUUCAUAUGUUUGUUUGUUUGUCACUAGCCUGGGAUAACUGAUUAGGUUCAAUAAUUACAUGUUUUAAAGCAUGAGUUUCUUUUAUUUGAGUCUGGUUGUUUAUCUGGUUUCCCAACAAAGUUCUUCUGGAAAAAGGUUUUCAAUGUUCAUGUAUUUGUUUGACACUAGUCUGAAAAUUCCCUCAUCUUUUGAUAGUUGUAUAUUCAGUUUCUUGACUUGGAAAUUGAGUUAGUUCCUCAAUAAUGUGAUUUUUAGGCUUAAUUGACAUAUACCUUCUGAUUCUAUAAUUUCUGAUGCUUCCUA
rnacentral:lncRNA from 1 species